CCGUGCUAGGCGGGGACGUAGCGGCGCCCUGAACCCGCAAUCCGCUUUAGCGGGGCUGAAUUCCCUCUCGAGGGGUGCAGGCCUCGGGUCAGCGCCCUGCUCUUGGUGCUGAUGGCCCGGUCCCACCGCGAUGGAGACCCGUGAACCAGGUCAGGUCCGGAAGGAAGCAGCCUUAAGCGGUCAUCUCCAGGCGCAGUGGGAGUGCCGGGUCGGAGCUGAGAAAUGGAGUAGCGGCUCGGGAACCGACUUCGACGGAGGGUGCACGG
rnacentral:SRP_RNA from 1 species